rnacentral:rRNA from 1 species
GACGAACGCUGGCGGCGUGCUUAACACAUGCAAGUCGAGCGGUAAGGCCCUUUCGGGGUACGACGAGCGGCGAACGGGUGAGUAACACGUGGGUGACCUGCCCUCAGCUCUGGGAUAAGCCCGGGAAACUGGGUCUAAUACCGGAUAUGACACAUCGUUGCAUGAUGGUGUGUGGAAAGUUUUUCGGCUGGGAUGGCCCGCGGCCUAUCAGCUUGUUGGUGGGGUGAUGGCCUACCAAGGCGACGACGGGUAGCCGGCCUGAGAGGGCGACCGGCCACACUGGGACUGAGACACGG